GACGAACGCUGGCGGCGUGCCUAAUACAUGCAAGUCGAACGCUUCUUUUUCACCGAACUUCGGUUCAUCGAAAAAGAGGAGUGGUGAACGGGUGAGUAACACGUGGGUAACCUGCCCAUCAGAAGGGGAUAACACUUGGAAACAGGUGCUAAUACCGUAUAAUGCUUUUUCUCGCAUGAGAGCAAGCUGAAAGGCGCUUUUGCGUCACUGAUGGAUGGACCCGCGGUGCAUUAGCUAGUUGGUGAGGUAACGGCUCACCAAGGCCACGAUGCAUAGCCGACCUGAGAGGGUGAUCGGCCACACUGGGACUGAGACACGGCCCAGACUCCUACGGGAGGCAGCAGUAGGGAAUCUUCGGCAAUGGACGAAAGUCUGACCGAGCAACGCCGCGUGAGUGAAGAAGGUUUUCGGAU
rnacentral:rRNA from 1 species